rnacentral:rRNA from 1 species
CCUACGGGUGGCAGCAGUGGGGGAUAUUGCACAAUGGGGGAAACCCUGAUGCAGCGACGCCGCGUGUGGGAAGACGGUCCUAUGGAUUGUAAACCUCUUUAGGCGGGGAGCAAUGCCUGGCACGCGUGCCCGGAGGGAGAGUACCCGCAGAAUAAGCAUCGGCUAACUCCGUGCCAGCAGCCGCGGUAAUACGGAGGAUGCGAGCGUUAUCCGGAUUUAUGGGGUUUAAGGGGUGCGUAGGCGGAUUUUUAAGUCAGCGGUAAAAGGUCCGGGCUCAACCCGGGCCGGCCGUUGAAACUGGGAGUCUUGAGUGGGCGAGAAGUAUGCGGAAUGCGUGGUGUAGCGGUGAAAUGCAUAGAUAUCACGCAGAACUCCGAUUGCGAAGGCAGCAUGCCGGCGCCCGACUGACGCUGAGGCACGAAAGCGUGGGGAUCGAACAGGAUUAGAUACCCGUGUAGUC